GCUGGGGGCGCCCUGCCCACCCCAAACGGCCCUGCGUCGCGCCCGCCCCGAAGGUGGGAUCCUCCAGUCCCGCUGAGCCCACCCUUGAAGUUCCUCGUGCAGCCCCUCCUGGGACAGUGGCAGACUGAGGGCAGCAGCGGCGGGGACUGGCCCGGACCCGACAGGUCAUGGUCUCAGGGAAGCCGGCAGCGAGAGCCACUUCCUACACUGCAGACUGUGGGUCAGGUCUCACCGGGCUAUUCUGGCCGUUUGCCUGGAGGGCCCCAAAGUGCCAUCUCCUCCAUUCUGGGCACCUGGCUGGACCAGUACUCGGAGGACUUCUGUCAGCCCCCAGACUUUCCCUGCCUCAAGCAGCUGGUGGCCUAUGUGCAGCUCAACAUGCCCGGUUCAGACCCAGAGCACC